rnacentral:rRNA from 1 species
GAUGAACGCUGGCGGCGUGCCUAAUACAUGCAAGUCGAGCGAACGGACGAGAAGCUUGCUUCUCUGAUGUUAGCGGCGGACGGGUGAGUAACACGUGGAUAACCUACCUAUAAGACUGGGAUAACUUCGGGAAACCGUAGCUAAUACCGGAUAAUAUUUUGAACCGCAUGGUUCAAAAGUGAAAGACGGUCUUGCUGUCACUUAUAGAUGGAUCCGCGCUGCAUUAUCUAGUUGGUAAGGUAACGGCUUACCAAGGCAACGAUGCAUAGCCGACCUGAGAGGGUGAUCGGCCACACUGGAACUGAGACACGGUCCAGACUCCUACGGGAGGCAGCAGUAGGGAAUCUUCCGCAAAGGGCGAAAGCCUGACGGAGCAACGCCGCGUGAGUGAUGAAGGUCUUCGGAUCGUAAAACUCUGUUAUUAGGGAAGAACAUAUGUGUAAGUAACUGUGCACAUCUUGACGGUACCUAAUCAGAAAGCCACGGCUAACUACGUG